UUUAAGUACAGUUGUGGGUUUUUUUGUCCAACGUUUGACCGUCUGUAUUAUUUAAAUUUUUUUAUGAUUAGUAUUUUUAUUAUUUUAGAUGAUAAAACAUGAAUACUUAUUUUCUUAAGUUUUUCAUAAAAUUUUCAAAUAAAACGGAUGGUCAAACGUUGAACACUUCAAUGUAAACUCACA
rfam:Oryza glumipatula chromosome 11, whole genome shotgun sequence.